GACGAACGCUGGCGGCGUGCUUAACACAUGCAAGUCGAACGGGGUCCAUGGAAGCUUGCUUCCGGAAGAUCUAGUGGCGAACGGGUGCGUAACACGUGAGGAACCUGCCCCGAACUUGGGAAUAACAGUCGGAAACGACUGCUAAUACCGAAUACCUUCGAACCGUCGCAUGGCGGAUCGAAGAAAGCUUUCGCGGUUCGGGGGGGCCUCGCGGCCUAUCAGCUAGUUGGUGAGGUAACGGCUCACCAAGGCAUCGACGGGUAGCUGGUCUGAGAGGAUGAUCAGCCACACUGGGACUGAGACACGGCCCAGACUCCUACGGGAGGCAGCAGUGGGGAAUAUUGCACAAUGGGCGAAAGCCUGAUGCAGCAACGCCGCGUGCGGGAAGAAGGCCCUAGGGUUGUAAACCGCUUUCAGCAGGGAAGAAACUGACGGUACCUGCAGAAGAAGGUGCGGCCAACUACGUGCCAGCCGCCGCGGUAA
rnacentral:rRNA from 1 species